AUUUAUAAAAUCUUUAUGUGUGUGGCAGGCUUAAAGCCUGCCACACACAUAAAGAUUUUAUAAAUCUCAACCGAUUUUUUAUCUGUGAGAGACCCCACACAUAAACAUUACAUUAACAGUUUUGAUCGUAUUGUGUGUGGUGUCCUGCGAUAUUCCAAACACAGCACACCACACACAUAAAGAUUUGUCUUCAGACGCACUAGAAUCUUGUCCCUCAAGCAAGAAAUCUCGCGUGAACAAACGUGAUCUGACGUAGUACUCUGACUGACCUGUGGGGGCAGUCACACCAAAAACAGUCAUUGAACUAACUACAAGAAGAAGUGAAGAAGAGCGAGUGUAAACCGGUGUAAACUCAUGGAGGACCAGCUGGAUACCGACUGCAUGAUGGUGGUUUUGGGAUUAAUCCUAACUGAAAAAUCCCUUAACUUCAACACAACUCACCACGAACUACAAUGAUCCGACAAGGAACAAAGGAAAGACAAGGGCUUGAAUACCAAACACACACAGGGCACGCAACGAGUAACAGCUGAAACACAUUAGCGGAGGGAGCAGUAAUCACACAGGAGGGAAACUUGACCGGACAUGGGGAGAAACAAGACAGAGAUACCAAAGUAAAACAGGACCGGCCCGGCCCAGCCAUGUCACACAGCCGAAGGCCGAGGUCCGUUCCUUCCCUCUCGGUCGUGUGGGCUGUCAACUUAACCUGAAAGUUCAAUAAAACUUUGGCCCAGGCCAUAACUCAUUAUGAUUGGUUCUGGGCUGGCCCUGGCCCUAUCACACACACGGCAGAGGGCCGAGGUCCCGCCCCUUGGGCCUCGGCUGUCAAUCAGUCACGUCACUAACUGACAGAAAAAUGGAGAAGAAACGUAAAGGAGGCGUGGAGAAUAGUGUCAGUGAGGAAAGUAACCAAUCAGAGCGGAGGAAGAGGGCAACUCCCCACUCUUAAAGACUCUUUGUCAAGAGAGUUCAAACCCCCACAGAUGUCUGAAAGUGGUGUGCCCCAUCCUUAAAACAAGGCUAUGUCUCGCAUCACAUACGGAGCCUCUCUCUCUUUAACCGUUCUUUGACGCUCCAAACCCCGUCCCUCCUGUUCCUUCCUUUGCCCUGUGAUGAUACAGAGCCGGUUCUUAAGGUGCCCCCUGUGAGGACAACGCAGUGUCUGGGGGGGGUGACGGAGGCAGUGCGGCCACCUGGGGCCCGAGCGGAUCAGAGGAAAAGGGCUACUCUGCGGUUGGCCUUGAUGGGGAGAUAUUUUAACCCUUUUUAACCCCAUUUUCCUGCGACAUUCCUGCGUCUCCCCCUGCGUCACAGCCCGCUUCAGCACCAUGUCAGUGGACAGGUACAAUCCUAGAAAAGGAUGAAUAAUUCAUCAGGGGAAUGAACGAUCCCAGACUGUCUCAGGUCGUCUCAUAUUUAAAUGGUCCUUUUGUUUAAAGUUUCCUAACCACUUGCAGGCGAGAAUCCCCUUAAAUCAGAGGAAGGGAGGAUUCAGAGACAGGACAGACUGUUAAGACUGUGUUUGGUAUUUUGAAUUCAUAAGCCUAUUGUGAUAAUUAUCAAUAGUGUUUAAUUCCCCAUAAUUAUCAGUAGGCCUACAAGUAGUCAAUUUGUUACAUACAGCUCCUUUAAGCGGAAAUAACAAUGAUGUAUAGCUAAAAAUUAUGCUCAAUAAAUUACACUGUAACAAUAUACACCAUAUAUAUGUUUACUUCUAAUCCAUGUUGCUAGUUACAGCACUCAAGCAAUACCUUUGACAGAUGUACACACGCAUCUAUAGGCUGUUCAAUAUUAACUUAAUGUUCAAUAUUUUUUUCCUUUCUGCGAUCAAUCGAUUCUAAAUAAAAAUUGAAUCAUGCAUUUACAUUGCAUAAUGACCUAAAAAUAACAUUGGUUUGAUUCCGUCCAUUCAUUCUGUGAUCCAAUAACGCACCCAUCGUAUCCACUUACUGCUGAGUGUGUG
rnacentral:lncRNA from 1 species